GAGUUUGAUCUUGGCUCAGAACGAACGCUGGCGGCAUGCCUAACACAUGCAAGUCGAACGCUCCGCAAGGGGAGUGGCGCACGGGUGAGUAACGCGUGGGAACCUGCCCAGGGGUGUGGGAUAACCGGUGGAAACGCCGGCUAAUACCGCAUACGUCCUAUGGGAGAAAGAUUCAUCGCCCUUGGAGGGGCCCGCGUCGGAUUAGCUAGUUGGCGGGGUAACGGCCCACCAAGGCGACGAUCCGUAGCUGGUCUGAGAGGAUGAUCAGCCACACUGGGACUGAGACACGGCCCAGACUCCUACGGGAGGCAGCAGUGGGGAGUAUUGGACAAUGGGGGCAACCCUGAUCCAGCAAUGCCGCGUGAGUGAUGAAGGCCUUAGGGUUGUAAAGCUCUUUCGGCGGGGACGAUGAUGACGGUACCCGCAGAAGAAGCCCCGGCUAACUUCGUGCCAGCCGCCGCUGU
rnacentral:rRNA from 1 species